GACAGAGGGUGCAAACGUUGCUCGGAAUUACUGGGCGUAAAGCGCGUGUAGGCGGGAAGAUAAGUCGGGUGUGAAAUCCCUGGGCUCAACCUAGGAACUGCAUCCGAAACUGCCUUUCUGGAGUGAUGGAGAGGAAAGCGGAAUUCCCGGUGUAGAGGUGAAAUUCGUAGAUAUCUGGAGGAACACCGGUGGCGAAGGCGGCAUCCUGGACCGGCAUUGACGCUGAGGCGCGAAAGCCAGGGGAGCAAACGGG
rnacentral:rRNA from 1 species